GAAACUCAAAGUGAUGGGGUGACCGAUGG
rnacentral:piRNA from 1 species